GCCGCCCGCCGCCAUCUCGCAGGGCCGGGCGGGGAGCUCUGGCCGGGCGCUGCUGGGAGCGCACGUCCCCGGCCCGGGCCGAGCGCGGCAGCCUGAGGUCAGCGCGUCCCGCUGCCGGCGGGUGCCCGGUGCUCCCCGGCCGGCACGGGGGGCUGCUCCGCUCCCCGCCCCCUCGUCACGUUGCUGUGAUCCUCUCGGCGAGAGACAGGGGAGCAAAGCUGAGGCGUGGCGGGGGCUUCCCUCUCUCUCGGCAUCGCUCUUUCCUGUCUGAGCUGAUUUUGGGACCGGGGGUCAGCAUGUGAGGCUGAGGACAGAAGAUGUCUGGGCAGAUGCAGUGUUGGUAUAAACCAAGGCAUUCACACACCGUGGAGCCACCUUUCAUGCUCAGAAGAUUCGCAGAAGAUCCGCAGCAGAUUCGUGGAGGACUUUCCCCCAUACCUCACCUGCAGUUUUGGUUGAAGCUUGUGAGUUGGAGCAAAUUGAAUUCCCCAUCUUCCCUGGCAAUUUGCUUCAAAAGCUGCUCUCUGGCUCCAUCUUCCGUUCUGUUGGUUGGUUGGUUUGGGGUGAUUAGUGUAGUUUAUCAGGGUGAGAUCCUUCUGAGUUUUAAAAAUGAAAUUUGUUUCGAGAAGUAUGUAAUCAAGGCUUGUGUGAUGGUUCAGACCAGUAGGAGAGAAUCCCGACUGGCAGGUGAGAGGGUAGCCCAGGUUGGAGGGAGUUGGAGGGUCUGCAGCCUGUGUUUAUACUCUGUCUGCGAAGUUGUUACUUCUGUUCCAAGAAGGGGGAAUUCCCUUGGCCAAAAAGCUCAGCAACGUGUUCUUUUUUGGCGUAAUUGUAACUUUUCUGCAAAAGUGUGAUCAUUACAUGAUCUGGCAACAUAGUAACACCUCACAUACCUUUCCGAGGAAACUGGCAAGCACUGGGACCGCUGAGUAGGAGAAGGACAGUGUGAUCAACAGGUUGGUCUCUUUGUGGGUACUAAGAAAAACAGUCCUUUACUAUAAAGUGCUCAACAAUAAUAAGAAUAAUAUUAAUAAUCCCAAGAGCAGACCUUUAAUAAAGAAAAACUAUUUCAUGGCAAUUAAACUUUAGGCCCAAACUAUUCAACACGUGCCCCUUUGAGCCAUUAAGUAACCUGAUUCCUGUUGCUCUUACUCUGCAAGAUGGCAUCACCUGUGGGAGUGGAGCUGUGCUUGGACUGAUUCAGUGCUUAAAUUUAAAACUACUCUGCGGACAGCGAGCCAGAUUUUGGCUUCUGAGGCCUCUUCCCCCACCACGCAUGCAACACCAAAGAAUUUAUAUACAUAAAGGAUAACCACCUAAAAAAAGGUAGAUCCACUUUGCAACAAGUAGAGCUGCCUCUCAAAAGUCAUCAGACAUUCCAGUGCUCUAUUCUCUUGCAUGCCUUUCUUCUCUGCCUGUUUGCAAACUGUUUUCCAGUUUUACAGUAUAUGGGAUUUACAGUUUCUUCAAAAUUUGCACUUCUAUGCAACUGCAAAAAUGUGUGCUUAAAAUUCUCUCCAUCUCCUGUUUUGUCAGCAGUGAUAGCCUUUAUAAGAUAGCUACUGAAAAAUAUUUUUAAUUUCAGAUGCUACCUCAUUCUUAGAAGCAUGUGGGAAACAAAUAUAGAUGUGCUCUUUUUAUAGAAAGGCAAACUUCACAGACCACCAAAACAUUCUGUGGAAAUCUCGCUUGUCCAUCUUGCUUAAAAACACAAAACUUUUUAUAAAAAGCACCCUCAAAUUUAGACAUUGUUCCUUAUUUUGCUCCAGGUAUUUAUCAGUCACACAAGGAAUAGUACUGCCUAUCACAUUUCUAUUAAUAAGCCCUAGACCGUCAUUAUCACAGUUUUCUUCUGUAUUUCAUUAGUUUUGGUUUAUGUGGGCAUUCAGAAAAUGAUAACCUACCAGAAACACUGCUUGACUCUACUGUAGUUCAAAGUUAUGGAGAAACAGAUGAGCUGUAAAGAAUAUGCACAGCAGUAUCACUGCAUAGCACCUUAUCGAGAAGAAAUACACUCAUUUUUAGCUGUCAUGCAAGUGCUGUUGGCAUUGUAACUGACUGUGAACAUGUGAGAGGAAAAAAAAGAGUGAUGCUGUGUCAGUGUGUGGGCUGCAAAUGAGAACUCCUGGCUCAUACAUUUUGCCCCAUAAGCAGUUCUGGCAUUGUAUGCAGUCUUAUUGCUGUUUCCUUUGUCCUCAUUGAUCCUGCUAUAGUAUUACUCACAUUUUGGGCUCCCUACUUGCUGUAAAAGAACUCUGUAAUUUAAUCCACUGUCUUUUUGGUGGAACUUUCUGACCACUAAUUCUUCUAAGCUCAUUAUUCUUGUAUUUUUCUAGGCCUCAGGACUUCAGGCCUUUUUUUUUGGUCCUAAAUCUUCCUUUGUGAUACUGAAAAAUCAUAGAAUCAUAAAAUCAUUUGGGUUGGAAAAGACUUUUAAGAUGAUCAAGUCCAACUAUUAACUUAGAAUACUGCCAAGUCUACCACUAAACCAUAUAAGCACCACAUCUACUCAUGGUGACUCAAUCACUUCCCUGGGCAGCCUGUUCCAGUGCCUGACAACCCUUUCAGUGAAAUGUUUUGCUAAUAUCCAAUCUCCAUUGGCACAACCUGAGGACAUUUGCUCUCAUCCUGUUACUAGGGAGAAGAGACCAACCCCCACCUCACUACAACCUCCUUUCAGGUAGUUGUAGAGAGUGACAAGGUCUCCCCUCACCCUCCUUUUUUCCAGGCCAAACAACCCCAGUUCCCCCAGCUACUCCUUGUAAGACUUGUGCUCUAGACCCUUCACCAGCUUCAAGGAUCAUGCAGUAUCAUGAAGAAAUACAUUUUCUAUUUGGAAAAUGCAUUAAAAUCACCUGUGUAACCUCCUUGAAAGUCGAAGACAUUAAGACAUUUCUCUACAUGAACACUUUGAAGUAUUUCCUUUUCUUUCAUCUCAAGUGUACAAAUAAGAACAUGUCCAGAGAAAUUCAAGAAACAGUUUAUUAAAACAA